CUGGUUGGACUAUAAGGAUAGGCUCGCGAGAGACGAUGUCUAGUUGAGGUUGUUGUUAGCGAAAGUGUUUUGAUUGGGUAUUUAUAAACUCCGAAUAGUAGGAGUUUGAUCGGGAUGUGCAAUUACUAACUUUGCAGAGGGUCACGUUGGCGGCCGACAACGUGACAUCGGAAGUUAGUAUGCGUUACCUCUCAUUGCUUUCGCUUAAUUAGUUGGUUUAUAUCCUCAAUGAGGGUUCAGUAGUAUAGGAUUUGUUGACCUAUGUUUGUUUUGUGCUGCAGUUUAAGAUGCCGUUGACUCGUUCGCAAGCCGCCGGGGCAGCUGAGGCGGCGGAUGCAGAGGAAGUGGGGACUUCGGUUACUUCGGGAU
rnacentral:lncRNA from 1 species